rnacentral:rRNA from 1 species
CUACGGGAGGCAGCAGUAGGGAAUUUUCGUCAAUGGGCGCAAGCCUGAACGAGCAAUGCCGCGUGAACGAGGAAGGUCUUCGGAUCGUAAAGUUCUGUUGAAGGGGAAAAAGAGCGGAGAGAGGAAAUGGUCUCCGAUUGAUAUUACCCUUCGGGGAAGUCACGGCUAACUACGUGCCAGCAGCCGCGGUAAUACGUAGGUGGCGAGCGUUAUCCGGAAUGAUUGGGCGUAAAGGGUGCGUAGGCGGCCUGCUAAGUCUGGAGUGAAAGGUACCGGCUCAACCGGUACAGGCUCUGGAAACUGGG